GACGAACGCUGGCGGCGUGCUUAACACAUGCAAGUCGAACGGAAAGGCCCUGCUUUUGUGGGGUGCUCGAGUGGCGAACGGGUGAGUAACACGUGAGUAACCUGCCCUUGACUUUGGGAUAACUUCAGGAAACUGGGGCUAAUACCGGAUAGGAGCUCCUGCUGCAUGGUGGGGGUUGGAAAGUUUCGGCGGUUGGGGAUGGACUCGCGGCUUAUCAGCUUGUUGGUGGGGUAGUGGCUUACCAAGGCUUUGACGGGUAGCCGGCCUGAGAGGGUGACCGGCCACAUUGGGACUGAGAAACGGCCCAGACUCCUACGGGGGGGAGCAGUGGGGAAUAUUGCACAAUGGGCGGAAGCCUGAUGCAGGAACGCCGCGUGCGGGAUGACGGCCUUCGGGUUGUAAACCGCUUUCGCCUGUGACGAAGCGUGAGUGACGGUAAUGGGUAAAGAAGCACCGGCUAACUACGUG
rnacentral:rRNA from 1 species